rnacentral:rRNA from 1 species
UACGGAGGGUGCAAGCGUUAAUCGGAAUUACUGGGCGUAAAGCGUGCGCAGGCGGUUAGUUAAGUCUGUCGUGAAAUCCCCGGGCUCAACCUGGGAAUGGCGAUGGAUACUGGCUAGCUAGAGUGUGUCAGAGGAUGGUGGAAUUCCCGGUGUAGCGGUGAAAUGCGUAGAGAUCGGGAGGAACAUCAGUGGCGAAGGCGGCCAUCUGGGACAACACUGACGCUGAAGCACGAAAGCGUGGGGAGCAAACAGG